rnacentral:rRNA from 1 species
GAUGAACGCUGGCGGCGUGCCUAAUACAUGCAAGUCGAGCGAACGGACGAGGAGCUUGCUCCUCUGAUGUUAGCGGCGGACGGGUGAGUAACACGUGGAUAACCUACCUAUAAGACUGGGAUAACUUCUGGAAACCGGAGCUAAUACCGGAUAAUAUUUUGAACCGCAUGGUUCAAAAGUGAAAGACGGUCUUGCUGUCACUUAUAGAUGGAUCCGCGCUUCAUUAGCUAUUUGUUAAGUUAACGGCUUACCAAGGCAACGAUGAUUAGCCGACUUGAAAGGGUGAUCGCCCACACUGGAACUGAGCCACGGUCCAGACUCCUACGGGAGGCACAAGAAGGGAAUCUUCCGCAAUGAGCGAAGGCCUGACGGAGCAACGCCGCGUGAGUGAUGAAGGUCUCCGGAUCGUAAAACUCUGUUAUUAGGGAGGAACAUAUGUGUAAGUAACUGUGCACAUAUUGACGGUACCUAAUCAGAAAGCCACGGCUAACUACGUG